UGAGGAAUAUUGGUCAAUGGGCGAGAGCCUGAACCAGCCAAGUCGCGUGAGGGAAGACGGCCCUACGGGUUGUAAACCUCUUUUGUCAGGGAGCAAAGACAGGUAUGUAUACCUGGAUGAGAGUACCUGAAGAAAAAGCAUCGGCUAACUCCGUGCCAGCAGCCGCGGUAAUACGGAGGAUGCGAGCGUUAUCCGGAUUUAUUGGGUUUAAAGGGUGCGCAGGCGGUGGAAUAAGUCAGCGGUAAAAUUUCGGGGCUCAACCUCGUUUAGCCGUUGAAACUGUUCCACUAGAGUGGACGAGAAGUAUGCGGAAUGCGUAGUGUAGCGGUGAAAUGCAUAGAUAUUACGCAGAACUCCGAUUGCGAAGGCAGCAUACCGGCGUCCAACUGACGCUCAUGCACGAAAGCGUGGGUAUCGAACAGG
rnacentral:rRNA from 2 species